CCUACGGGUGGCAGCAGUGAGGAAUAUUGGUCAAUGGACGAGAGUCUGAACCAGCCAAGUAGCGUGAAGGAUGACUGCCCUAUGGGUUGUAAACUUCUUUUAUAUGGGAAUAAAAUGUUCCACGUGUGGGAUUUUGUAUGUACCAUAUGAAUAAGGAUCGGCUAACUCCGUGCCAGCAGCCGCGGUAGUACGGAGGAUCCGAGCGUUAUCCGGAUUUAUUGGGUUUAAAGGGAGCGUAGGUGGAUUGUUAAGUCAGUUGUGAAAGUUUGCGGCUCAACCGUAAAAUUGCAGUUGAAACUGGCAGUCUUGAGUACAGUAGAGGUGGGCGGAAUUCGUGGUGUAGCGGUGAAAUGCUUAGAUAUCACGAAGAACUCCGAUUGCGAAGGCAGUUCACUGGACUGCAACUGACACUGAGGCUCGAAAGUGUGGGUAUCAAACAGGAUUAGAUACCCUUGUAGUC
rnacentral:rRNA from 1 species